UACAGAGGUCUCGAGCGUUUGUUCGGAUUCAUUGGGCGUAAAGGGCGCGUAGGCGGCGGGGUAAGUCUGGUGUGAAAUCUCGGAGCUCAACUCCGAAAUUGCACUGGAUACUGCUCUGCUAGAGGGCUGGAGAGGAGAUCGGAAUUCCCGGUGUAGUGGUGAAAUGCGUAGAUAUCGGGAGGAACACCAGUGGCGAAGGCGGCUUCCUGGCCUGUUCUUGACGCUGAGGCGGCGAAAAGCUAGGGGAGCAAACGGGG
rnacentral:rRNA from 1 species